rnacentral:tRNA from 1 species
GAGGCAGCCCAGUGGUUAAGGCAAUGGACUGAUAACCCAUUGUGCUCUGCAUUCCUGGGUUCGAAUCCCACGCUUC